CCUCUGUGCGUCCCCGCCACCCCCAACAGGAAACCGAGGCCAGGAUGGAUGGAGUCUUGCUCCACUGAGCAGGAAGCCACAUCCUGUGGAGGCUGGAGACUUUUGCUUGAAAAACAGGUCCCUGCCCCGGCGCCCGCCCGCCUGCAGCCGAGAGGGGAGCUUCCAGACGGGGGUGAGGCCCCCGCACCCACUUCAGCCGCCUGAGCCUGGCUCUGUGUCUGGUGAACUGGCCAUCCUUCCUUCUCCCCAGCAGGCGAGCCAUGAAGAACGGGCCCCGCAGGGCCGGCCUGCAGCCUCAGCCGAGUGCGUCCACAGCCAUUAGCGGGAGGCCCCAGCCUGGCUGAUCAGGGCCAACGCACAGCCCACCCCUCACUCUGCUCCCGGGGGGGCUGCCCGGCAAAGCUCCACCCUUGGGGAGAGAACAGGAGCUGAGAAGGAAACGGAGGUUCCAGGGCCAGCAUGGACGUUUGUGUAGGUUGUUCACUGCACAAUGGGGCUGCUCAGGGGGCAUGUGGAGCUGCAGUUCAGCCAGCCCUCACUCGCCGGGCGGAGGGCCCUGGCACCAGCUGCGUCCGCACAGGACAUGGUGCCUGCUCCUGAUCCAUUUGAAGGAGCUCCAGGGGAGGGCUGGGCCUGCCUUGGUCUUGGGAAGACGCCACCUGAGAACUCGAGGCCCUACCUCGUCCCUUUUCUUAAUUGCGUUUUUACUGACUUCUUUUUGGAGCACAUACGUAUGUAUUUUAUCACAUGGGUGCAUUUGUGUAGCCACUGCCACAAGCAGGAUACACAACAGUUCCAUCACCCCAAAACUCCCUGGUGCUGUCCUUUUGUCAGCACGUCCCCCCUCUUUCCUGACCCCUGGCAGCCCCUGGUCUGUUCUCCGCGGCCGCAGUUUUCCCUGUAGACGGUGGAAGCAGACAGUCCGGGCUGAGAUGGGCCUCUCCUACGCAGCGUCCGGGCCCGAGACCCACCCGGGUUGUUGUCUGUAUCAGUGGUUUGUGCCUUUUUGGUGCUGAAUAGCAGCACGUGGUGUGGACGCCCCAGUGUGUUUGUCCACCCACCCACUGAUGGGUGUCCGAGCUGUUUCCAGUCCCGGGCUGUCACCGAUCCAGCCACUGUGGACAUUCAUGCCUCUGUGUCCAUGAACACACACGUCUGUGCACGGAGCUGUGUUUCCUGGCUCUGGGAUCGAUGCCUGGCGGCAGACAGCUGCCACAUGGCAAGAGUUUGACUAACUUUCUAAGAACUUGCCAAGCGGUUUUCCAGAGCAGCUGUGCCAUUCUGCACCUUCGUCCUUGGUGUCUGAGUUCUGGUUGCUCUGUGUGCUUGUCAGCACUUGCUAUUGUCAGGAUUUAAUAUUUUAGCCACUGAGUGGCGUGGAGUGGUGUCUCGUCACGGUUUUGAUUUUCACAUCCUGGUGGCUAAGAAUGUUGAGCAUCUUUUCAUGCCCCUAUUUGUUAUCUGUGUAUCUUCUCCGAUAAAGUGUCUGUACAAGUCCUUUGCCCAUUUUUAAACUGGGCUUUCUUUUAGCUGUCGCGUUUUCAGAGUUCUUUAUACCUUCUGGAUACAAGUCCUUUGUCAGAUGUGGAAUUUGCAAAUAUUUUCUCACGACCUAUGGCCUGUCUUUCCAUUCCCUGAACAGUUUCUUUCACAAAGCAAAAGUUCUUAAUUUUGAAGAAGUAAAAUUAAUCUUUUAUGGA